rnacentral:rRNA from 1 species
GAUGAACGCUGGCGGCGUGCCUAAUACAUGCAAGUCGAGCGAAUGGAUUAAGAGCUUGCUCUUAUGAAGUUAGCGGCGGACGGGUGAGUAACACGUGGGUAACCUGCCCAUAAGACUGGGAUAACUCCGGGAAACCGGGGCUAAUACCGGAUAACAUUUUGAACCGCAUGGUUCGAAAUUGAAAGGCGGCUUCGGCUGUCACUUAUGGAUGGACCCGCGUCGCAUUAGCUAGUUGGUGAGGUAACGGCUCACCAAGGCAACGAUGCGUAGCCGACGGGAGAGGGUGAUCGGCCAGACUGGGACUGAGCCACGGCCCAGACUCCUACGGGGGGCGGCAGUAGGGACUCUUCCGCAAUGGACGAAAGUCUGACGGAGCAACGCCGCGUGAGUGAUGAAGGCUUUCGUGUCGUAAAACUCUGUUGUUAGGGAAGAACAAGUGCUAGUUGAAUAAGCUGACACCUUGACGGUACGUAACCAGAAAGCCACGGCUAACUACGUGCCAGCAGCCGCCGUAA